UCCGCGGUGUCCGUGGGUGUCAUUUUGACGACAGCGUUUGCGCACGCAUGUUAUGUGGGCGGUUCAGUUUGAUCGUCGUUUAUGCGAGUUUCACUUCGUUGCGGAUUCGUGAAGUCGAGAAGUAGCGUCAGUCCUGAAGCAGAGCGGCGUUUUGAACUUUGUUUCCUGUGUCUUCGUCUGCGCAAGGUGCAACCGCCUAUGAGGGUGAGUUCACCCGAUGAGCAAGGGGGCCAAGCCUUGGCUUCUCCAAGGUCCAAUGUCAAGACCCUCCGUGAGCUGUUCAAUGACAAGGAUGCCAAGUCUACGCCGCGUGUUGCCUCUGUCAAAAGGCGAGAAGGCCCAGCCGAGGUGCGGAUCCCUCGCCCUAGCCUCGCACCAAAACCACCCAGCAACCGCAGGGUUGACUCUGCGAAGGAAACAUCCAGCCCUGUUGGUGAUUUGCCUGAAACCCGGGGGGCGUCCUCCACCAGGAGAGUCUCAUUUGAGCAUGGCAGGGUGCCAUCAGAAGUUGCGCCAUCGCAGCAAGCACCACCAGGGGCCGUCUCCUCCUCUGUCCUCCGCGAGGACUCUCUCUCACACACGGUUGUAGGGGACCACCCUGCCUCUGCGUCCUGCGAGGCUCUGUGUGAAGAGGAGGAGGACUACGUGACACCCAUUUCCUUAUCGAAGCCACUGGAGCCUCCUCACAAGAAAAGUGUUCCAUCAGCGCCACCAAGGAGUGAGGAAGCGUGCAUGCCGAAACCUGUGGAGGGUUCUUCACACAGGACAAAGCCAAAGCUUCCCGAGCCCCCCCUGUAUGUGCCAGCGCAGCUGGUGCACCACCCUGUGGUGUCUGGCUGGCUGCGGCGAGAGCUACCUGGGGCUACUGCUUGCCCUCCAAAGCCAACGAGGCCCUCUGGAAUGCGCUUGCUGGUCUACUCUAGUCUACAAAAUGUUGCACCCAGCGCAGCCCAGCUGAACAGGCCUUUGCUGCCCGACCGAAGCACUCCUCCCCCUGCUCCCCCAUCGCGAGCCCCACCACCUCGUCCUUCGGUGCCCAAACCACCACGGAUGCUUCCAUCGUUGCCCACUACUUCACCAGCGGACGAUGCAUGCUCAGAACCCCGGCAGCCGACAUCUCCCAUCCCUGAAUACACAGAGGAUGAAGAGUUGGGCAGCAUAGAAGCCGAUGCAGAGCUGUAUGCAGACACUGAAAUGGACAAUGCGACACCACCUUCACUGCCACCGGCACGCACUCCCACUGUGCCACCUCAGCCACAAGAGGAUGAGCUGUACCAAGAUACCCUGGAAGAGCUCUAUGAGGAGAUGCCAACAGCGGAGAUCGCACCUGCGUUACCACCUCCACUGAAGGUACUGGACAACCUGCCCAGGAAAGACAAGCAGCAGCAUGAUAGCGUGUGCAAGGCAUUUGGGUGGGCUAUGCUGACCUGAUGAACAUAGAGGUAGAUGCUGAAUCCGUCAAGUUUAUAAUGACGACACACAGGAGCCCAUGUGCAAGCUUGAGGAAGCAGCAAACAAGUGCUAUGGAGUGUGAAGACGAAGAAGCCAUCUAUGAAGAAACCAUUUAGGCAAUGGACACCACAUCACCUGCUGUCUUACAGAAGGAUAGAUAGUGGACAUGCUUUGUGUCAAAAUAUCAGUGUUUUACCUACGUUUCA
rnacentral:misc_RNA from 1 species